rnacentral:rRNA from 1 species
UGCCAGCCGCCGCGGUAAUACGGAGGGUGCGAGCGUUAAUCGGAAUUACUGGGCGUAAAGGGUCCGUAGGUGGCCGGAUAAGUCUGAUGUGAAAGCCCGGGGCUCAACCCCGGAAGUGCAUUGGAAACUGGCGAACUUGAGUACGGGAGAGGAAAGUGGAAUUCCGAGUGUAGGGGUGAAAUCCGUAGAUAUUCGGAGGAACACCAGUGGCGAAGGCGGCUUUCUGGACCGAUACUGACGCUGAGACGCGAAAGCGUGGGGAGCAAACAGGAUUAGAUA